rnacentral:tRNA from 1 species
GGUGGCUCAGUGGUAGAGUGCUUGCCUAGGAUGCAUGACGCCCUGGGUUCGAUUCCUUAGCACCA